UAUUGUGAGAUUAAUAUUUACUCUUGUUUGGACGAAUCCACCCUUAGAUACAAACACCCGUGUUUAUAUCUAACAAUAACAAACAAAUAUGAGUGAUUGUGAUAUUACCUAACCGUUGUUCCGUUUAUAAAUUACGUAAUUCGUUAUGUAUUAAAUUUUUGGUUUGUUGUUUGAAGUGAAUAUUAUGCACUUUGAUAAGAACUAAUGUGAAAGAAAUUUGUAAGAACUUUUAUAAACUAGGUUUUGGAAAAUUAAAAUGUAAUGUUAAACCAUGGACAAUUUUAUUGAGUGAGUAGGUAGGUAUACAAUAUGUUGUAUAUGAAAAUAAUCUAUCUUAUAACAUAUUAUAAUAAAAAAAGUUUUUGGAUAUACUGAAUAAUUAAAAAGUACACAUUGAAUAUAAAGCUAGAUUUAAUUAAUUGUAAUCAUAAAUAAUUUUUGACCAUAAACUAAUUUUGUUUGCAAUCCCAAUAUACAAAUGAUUAAAAUAAAAUAAUACUUUUACUUACAAUUAUUUAAAUAAUUUCUUACAACGUUUCAUUGUGUUUAUGGCGCGGUGUAAAUACGUACGUAAACAACACAGCGCCAUCUAUUAAGCACCUCAUUCUCAAUCAUUCAUUGUAGACGCCUGCAAAGCGCGAUGCGGCAAUAUUUAGUUAAUAAGAAACGCAACAGGUGAGAGCGGGGUAUCCGCUUCUAUCCAUCACCAUUCCGGGAGUGCGUUACAAGGAAAACAGAGUAGCUUGUCGUUGAAUGAUUUUUUUGAAGCACGACAGAUGAGAUAACAGACGCGCUUUAUGCUUCCUACCAUGGGCGUUCGCAGCUUUCAGUCCAGGGAAGGGACCAACUUCCUACACCCCAUCUCGAUGCUUCACAACGCAAAAUGCGAGAGUAGCUUAUCGCUGAAAGUGAUGUUUUUAACAGCGACGGGUGCAAAGGAACUCUAGUAUUGGCUUAGUACUCACCGCGCGCGCAGUACGUCACCUCGCAGGAGCAGAGUGUGAUCUACAAGCCGGAAUGCUAGAGUAACUUGUCAUUGAAUGGAUUUUUGAAGCACGACAUG